UACGUAGGGGGCGAGCGUUGUCCGGAUUCAUUGGGCGUAAAGAGCUCGUAGGCGGCUUGGCAAGUCGGAUGUGAAAACUCCAGGCUCAACCUGGAGCCGCCAUUCGAUACUGCUAUGGCUAGAGUCCGGUAGGGGAGUGUGGAAUUCCCGGUGUAGCGGUGAAAUGCGCAGAUAUCGGGAGGAACACCGAUGGCGAAGGCAGCACUCUGGGCCGGUACUGACGCUGAGGCGCGAAAGCUAGGGGAGCAAACGGG
rnacentral:rRNA from 1 species